rnacentral:tRNA from 1 species
GAGCGGUUAGUCCAACAACCAAAGACUAUUAGUUUCGACCUAGUUAAUUGUGGUGAACCCCCACAACCUCUCU